rnacentral:rRNA from 1 species
UGGGGAAUAUUGCACAAUGGGGGAAACCCUGAUGCAGCGACGCCGCGUGAGCGAAGAAGGCUUUCGAGUCGUAAAGCUCUGUCCUAUGAGAAGAUAAUGACGGUAUCAUAGGAGGAAGCCCUGGCUAAAUACGUGCCAGCAGCCGCGGUAAUACGUAUGGGGCGAGCGUUGUCCGGAAUUAUUGGGCGUAAAGGGUACGUAGGUGGUUUUUUAAGUCAGGUGUCAAAGCGUGGAGCUUAACUCCAUUAAGCACUUGAAACUGAAAGACUUGAGUGAAGGAGAGGAAAGUGGAAUUCCUAGUGUAGCGGUGAAAUGCGUAGAUAUCAUGACGAACUCCGAUUGCGAAGGCAGCUUACGGGAGUGUUACUGACGCUUAAGCUCGAAGGUGCGGGUAUCGAACAGG